rnacentral:rRNA from 1 species
UACGGAGGGUGCAAGCGUUGCUCGGAAUUAUUGGGCGUAAAGGGUAGGUAGGUGGUCUUAUUUGUCUGGGGUGAAAGCCUUGAGCUUAACUCAAGAAGUGCCCCAGAAACGGUGAGACUAGAGUCCUGGAGAGGGUCGUGGAAUUCCCGGUGUAGCGGUGAAAUGCGUAGAGAUCGGGAGGAACACCAGAGGCGAAGGCGGCGACCUGGACAGGAACUGACACUCAACUACGAAAGCGUGGGGAGCAAACAGG